GACGAACGCUGGCGGCGUGCUUAACACAUGCGAGUCGAACGGAAAGGCCCUGCUUUUGUGGGGUGCUCGAGUGGCGAACGGGUGAGUAACACGUGAGUAACCUGCCCUUGACUUUGGGAUAACUUCAGGAAACUGGGGCUAAUACCGGAUAGGAGCUCCUGCUGCAUGGUGGGGGUUGGAAAGUUUCGGCGGUUGGGGAUGGACUCGCGGCUUAUCAGCUUGUUGGUGGGGUAGUGGCUUACCAAGGCUUUGACGGGUAGCCGGCCUGAGAGGGUGACCGGCCACAUUGGGACUGAGAUACGGCCCAGACUCCUACGGGAGGCAGCAGUGGGGAAUAUUGCACAAUGGGCGGAAGCCUGAUGCAGCAACGCCGCGUGCGGGAUGACGGCCUUCGGGUUGUAAACCGCUUUCGCCUGUGACGAAGCGUGAGUGACGGUAAUGGGUAAAGAAGCACCGGCUAACCACGUG
rnacentral:rRNA from 1 species